rnacentral:tRNA from 1 species
GGGGGUGUAGCUCAGCUGGGAGAGCACCUGCCUUGGCAAGCAGGGGGUCAGGAGUUCGAUUCUCCUCAUCUCCACCA